UCCGAGCAACAUGAGAUUUGUCAUUUUGUUGCGUAUUUUCGGGCAUGCAGCUGCCAGUUUUGAUUACGCUGGUAGGCCCACUCUUGAGGACCUGAAGGCGUUUUACGCUGACAACAAAGAUAUCUAUACCUUGAAAAGAUCGUUCGCGUUCACCGAUGCGGACGGCCACAAUGCAAAAUGCAUAUGGAAUAAAAGGGAAUCCCUUGAGGAAAACAAGCUGAAGCUUAAAGAAGCAUACGCACGUGGCACAACAGUCACUAAUUAUUAUGUGUAUGUACAACUGGAGGAUGGAAAAGGAAGAGACGAUGCACCUGUGAUGAAGGCUACACCCGGAAAACACAAAAGGAGCAUAAACACUAUAGGCAGGCUGCAGGACGGCGUACAAU
rnacentral:lncRNA from 1 species